UUUUCAUGACUAUUUGUAAUA
rnacentral:siRNA from 1 species